ACACCCGGAAGUAACCAAAGUCGCUCACAGCAGAUGGGAUUUCAAUCUGUCCCUGAAACAGAAACAUGGCAGCUACAUUAUGUCAUACAAUGAUGUGAAACCUGUAUGGUUAUGCAUCAGGUAUUGCGAAGAUUGUUCGGUAACGGUACUUGCCAAUUUCGGGAGUAGCUCAUGCUUCUUUGACAGAGCCUCUCUGAUCUGCUGCAGCUGAGCCUCCCUGUCGGCUUCGCCAUGCCACUGGUGGUGGACGCUGUGUGGGCGCUAUGGAGCAUCGGAGCUGGCAUCUAUGACUACUUCCACACCAGUGCCAUGGAGGAGAGGAUCCACACUCUGGAAAACGUCCUCUCCAUCCACCAGUUUGUGAUCGCAGCCCUGUCAGCGGGCCUCAUCCUGCUCAUGACCUACAUACUAUGGAGAAAACACUGAAACCCUGUUGACCUAAGCGCCCACUAGAUGCAGUUUUGUCGCAUGAUAUCUCAACCCUGAUGUUGGCCAGAAUGAUAAUUUGGAUUAUAUGACUGCCUACACUUGAAGAUCAAGCAUGUUCAGUGACAAUCAAGACAUCCCAAAUGAGGUCUGGAGCACCGAUGGGCGACUAAACGGAGCAACAAAGCUCUUUAAAGACUCGACCAGCAUGCAGUCUCUGAAAACUCGUCUGAUUGUCGUCAACUUUCUCUGAUGUAAAACACUGGAUUUGGUACAGAAGCCAAGUGCGACUGUGUUUGCUACUAAGAGUUUUAACCUGUUCUCACAAGAUCACAACGUGAUUGCCUCAAGAUCCGCUGCUUUGUCGUAACACAACGGUCAUAACGUAACGUUCUCUGUAAUUUCUGCUCUGCUUUUAUCUGAGACAACUCUUUCUCUCAAAGCUGAGCGGAACAAUUGCAUCUUUAUCUUAGACUAUUAGAUAAAAUGUGAUAAUUAAAUUGUGAUCUUGAGACAGCAGGCUUAAAAAUUAUUAACAAUGACUUUAUCCAGCACUACAAUUUCAUAUGUAAAUCGGGUAUAAUUGUGUGACCUGUAAUGGAUUUUAAUGAGUUGGGGAAGCCAACAUGUGACUCCCAGAAAGUUGGUGUCGGGCCAUGAUGUCGCAGGGGCACAUGGCGAGUGCUCUGCUGGGAGUGUGAGGCUGUAGUCAAACUGGGCUGAAUUCAGCACUUCUUGUUUGCACUGUUACAGAUUCACUGUUAAAGAUUAUAAUCAAAGCAGAGAUUUAAAAACAAACAUAUGCCUUGUGUGGUCUGUAAUUAUCCUGGUUAUCAAGUUGGAACAACUGGAUAAGCAGAAAAACACUCUUAAGGAGUUCAUAAUGUAUUGUAUUUUAUUUCAUGCUGAGGAGAAGAGAUUGGAGAUGUAGGUUAUUUAUUUAAUGUUAGCUAGUGUUUUAAAAAAGCAGAUUUUGUGUGUGUUUAAUUUGUCCAUGUUUACAUUUUUAACAACACUGUUUCCAGUCUGUCUUUCAAGUUUUUCUGCGUUAAAAAAAGGUCUAAUGAUUUAAUCAAGCAUCGGUCACUUUCUCUACUGUACCUGCUUGCUGGGGUUCUAUCUGGGCAGGUUGUACUGUACUGUAUGUACUACAGUGUGUUACUCUUGACAAACCACUACCAUGGCCACUAUCAAAGGGAAUAUGUUUGAAUAAUAAAUCAUAAUUUAAGUCCAAGCUUUA